rnacentral:misc_RNA from 1 species
UCGUAACAAGGUUUCCGUAGGUGAACCUGCGGAAGGAUCAUUAAAGCGUUGCCGACGUCGGCCCCGGCCGUUCGGCUUGAAAUAUAGCCUGGACGGUGCUGGAGGUCGCCGGCAGUUGCCCAUUCUUGCCUACUGACCCAGUUGCCUCGGCGAGCCGUGCCACUCGUGGCAGACCGGAAGCCGUUUGAACCCCUAGGGCUCAGGCGGCCCUGGCCAGUGCCCGCCGACGGACAGACUUAAAAUCUUUAUAUAUUGGCCGUCUGAGCGUAUAAAGCAAAUCAAUUAAAACUUUCAACAACGGAUCUCUUGGUUCCGGCAUCGAUGAAGAACGCAGCGAAAUGCGAUAAGUAAUGUGAAUUGCAGAAUUCCGUGAAUCAUCGAAUCUUUGAACGCACAUUGCGCCCCCUGGUAUUCCGGGGGGCAUGCCUGUUCGAGCGUCAUUGCAACCCUCAAGCUCGGCUUGUGUGAUGGGCGACCGUCCUUCCCCUAGGGGCGGGACGCGUCCGAAAAGCAGUGGCUAGGCCGCGAUUCCGGCGCCUGAGCGAAUGGGACUUCCACCGCUUCUAGGACCGGCCGGCACUUGGCCUUUAAACACGGUCUUAACUGACCAUCUAGGUUGACCUCGGAUCAGGUAGGGAUACCCGCUGAACCUAAGCAUAUC